rnacentral:rRNA from 1 species
UAACCUGCCUGGUAGCGGGGGAGUAACUAUUGGAAACGAUAGCUAAUACCGCAUAAUAUUGAUUAUUGCAUAAUAAUUGAUUGAAAGAUGCAACUGUAUCACUACCAGAUGGACCUGCGUUGUAUUAGCUAGUAGGUGAGGUAACGGCUCACCUAGGCGACGAUACAUAGCCGACCUGAGAGGGUGAUCGGCCACACUGGGACUGAGACACGGCCCAG